rnacentral:rRNA from 1 species
GACGAACGCUGGCGGCGCGCUUAACACAUGCAAGUCGAACGGAAAGGCCUGCUUUCCCUUGUGGAUUGCGGGUACUCGAGUGGCGAACGGGUGAGUAACACGUGAGUGAUCUGCCCCCAACUUGGGUAUAAGCCUGGGAAACUGGGUCUAAUUCCCGAUAGGACUGCAGGGUGGUGCCUGUGGUGGAAAACGAUUUUCUAGUGGUUGGGGAUGAGCUCGCGGCCUAUCAGCUUGUUGGUGGGGUAAUGGCCUACCAAGGCGGCGACGGGUAGCCGGCCUGGGAGGGUGGACGGCCACAUUGGGACUGAGAUACGGCCCAGACUCCUACGGGAGGCAGCAGUGGGGAAUAUUGCACAAUGGGCGGAAGCCUGAUGCAGCGACGCCGCGUGGGGGAUGACGGCCUUCGGGUUGUAAACUCCUUUCGACCGCGAGGAAGCCACCUGGUUGGAAGGGUGGUGACGGUAGUGGUAGAAGAAACACCGGCUAACUACGUG